UUUAAACUCAUUUUUCUAUAAAAUCACAAAAACGAAUAAAAACUACUUUAGAUAAUUAAGACAAUAAUAAGGUUACUCACGAUAUCGGGAGUUCGAAAUACACCUAUUCUUGGUCCCCUGGCACAAUGUCUUUACCCUUGUUAGAAGACUCACUACCUAUACACAAUACACGACAAAUAAUUCAAUAUAUUGUGUCAUGUCAUUAUAAAUCUAUUUCAGGCUCUAUAUGAAUGCAUGAGAUUGUUUGGAUAGACACUUAAAGACGGUGUUACACAUUGGUUCAAUUGUGAUCAGAAUGCAUCGAUUUUCGACCUAAUUCGAACUCUCCACCUUUGAUUUAACCAAAACAUCCAAAUUGACUCCAAUUAUAUUCAUCACACUUCCAAUGUCCCAAAAUACACCAAUGUGCCUCAAUGAGCUUGACUUUCUCAUUGUUAUUCAACUUAUUUACUAAAAGAACUAUACUUUAAAAUUACCAUUUUCUAUUUCCAUCACCACCAUUCAUUAAAUUCUAACUAAAUAACACAAGAUAACACAAGAAUCAUCUUCACUAGGUUCCUUAUGAAAUUCGGCCAUGGUGGGUGCAUAAACACUAUGGUUUUUUAUACUUGAUUUUUUUUACACCAUAAAUCAUUAGUUCCUAACCAAAUCACUUGAAAUAAAAUCAAAUCCACCAUCAACAUACCAUAAGGAAGAUUUGGCCAAUGAGGGUGAUGGAAGAACAUGAAUUUUUCUUGUUUGCUUUUCAUGCUACACAUCACCAACCAACUAAAAACACUAGAAUAACAUGUUUUCCAACUAAAUUCAACAUCAAAUCUUCUCCCCCUAGGUUCGGCCAACAAGGGAUCCAUCAUGAAAUCAUGAAUUUCAACCAUGGAAAAUUAGAAAGAAUGCUUAGGAAAGAUAGAUCUGAAGCUAAAAUUGAAAAAUCUUACCUUUUGUCACUUGAUUCCUUGAAAUUCUAAAAUUUUCUCUUGAAUUUUUCUAACUAGGGUUUUGUUCUUUCUUUCUUUCCUCUUUUCCUUAGUGAGGCCGAAC
rnacentral:lncRNA from 1 species